CGAAGUCCUACCUGAGUCUCCGCCAGGCACGGCGCGCGGAGCAGAGGCGACGUACGCCGCCAAAACACACGCCGCCGUCGCUCCCGUCAGCGUCCACGUCAGCCUCUCCGACGACAUUUCAGACGUCUUCUAAGUUAAUCUGGGCAAUUCUUGGUGCGUCUUAAUUCUGCAUCAAUCUGUAACGGGUAAAUCUGCACUUCUGGAAGUUCAGGGGUUUGUUUUACUGUUUAAAUGCAAGUGGAAAGUACCUGCGGCCAGCGCAGAGAAGACACCAGAAAGCCACAGCAUUUUAAGAGCGAAGCCAUCGCGCUAAAGGGUAACACAUCACAUAUUGACAUCUGCGCAUAAAUUCAAUCACUCAGUGCAUCAGUGAAAACUGGAUUAGGUUUUCCUAAAUCGCAGAUAAAUCCGCCACUCAUUGCAAUAUGUUCCAGCUCCAGCCUGUUGCUUACUAUCUGCUUACUUACUGUACACUGACAGUCUGUUUUAAUCUAAACCCAAGAGCCUAGCAAACAAGUGGAUUUUCAAUAAAGCCCUUUAAAAUCUGUAGAGAAAAAUCCCAUGAUCCUCUGUGUUAGCUACACAAAUAUGCACAGCAAUGAAAGGAUUCAGUCUGAAACAGAUUAAUUGCAGUGGUAAAUGCAAUACGUCCCUCAUGUAGUGUGUACUGUGUAUUACUGCACCCCAUUUUAUUAACAUACAGCUCUAUCAGACAAGCUUUUUACAAUCUCUGAGACAAGCAUGUAAUGAUAUACAGUUCAUUGGGAUCUCGGCUUUUUUGAAAGCCAACACGAAACAAAAAAGGCGAUCCUUGCGCACAUCAGCCGACUAUUCAAGGUGCAUUUAGACCACCUUUGUCUCCUGUUUACCUCCUUGUGGUUUACAAAGCACUCCAAUUAAAAUCCCAGAGAUUAGGACAGUUGUGAUUAAUAUUCGUCGGCGGGGCCUGGAGUACGAGGCACAACAAAAGCGAGGGUUGCUUGGAAUUGCCUUGAGCAGAACACCUAAUGGCGGCCAAUUAAAAUAAGAGGAUUCAAUUUGGCCAAAGCAACAGGAACCUACAGAUAAUGCAUGUAUCUAAAAUUGCAGCAGAUGCCACACUCUUGAUUCUGCUUCUAUCAUGUUUGUUAUGGCAUUUUCGCAAAUGACCUGCAGCCGAUUGCAACAAACCCUUUAAUAAACCCUAUAGGGGAAAAAAAAAAACUUACCCAAACUUUCCCAAUUAAAAUAAAAGUGCAUUGUGAAAAUAUAUGCAAUUUAGAGAUGACACUUUAUUUUAUGGUUUCUUAACUAGUUGCUUAUUAACAUGCAUAUUACUAGAAUAAUAGCCAUUUACGAGUAGUAAUUGAGCACAUAUUAAUGCCUUAUUCUACAUCCCUAAUCCUACUCAAUACCUAAACUUAACUAACUUCUAAAUUGUUUAAAGUUUUUUGUUGUUUUUUGUUGUUAAUGCUUUUACAGAAUAUAAUACUAAUUAUUUCAUCUCAUUAUUGCUGCUUGAAUUAAAAUGACAAAAUAAAUGUGCUAUAAACAGUACUUCUUUUUGUUUUAAGAAAUUAAAAGUAAAAAAGUAUAAAAGUAAAAACAUUUAUAAUGUUUCAAAAAUUCCUGUUUUAGAUAAACGCUGUUCUUUUGCCACAAAAAAUUAUCAACAUAACCGUUUCCAACAUAUAUAAUAAUCAGAAAUGUUUCUUAUGCACUAAAUUAGCAUAUUAGAAUGAUGUCUGAAGUAUCAUGUGACCUGUGAAAAUUCAGCUUUUCGUCAUAGGAGUAAAUUAUAUUUUUCAAUAAAAACGGUUAUUUCCAAAAUUCCAGUAUUACAGUUUUCGAUGUAUUUUUAAAGAAAUAAACGCAACCUUAAUGAACAUGAAAAAUGCUUAACAGAUUUAUUAGUUGCUGUAAAAAUAGUGUAUGAUUUCUAAAAUAGUGCCUCCCGGUAUAUCACUGACUGAGUUAUAACUAAUAUGGAUGUAAUGCAACCCAAGCAAAAAAGAUGAAGCUAAAUAAAGUGGCUAUGACUUCAGGAAAAGAAUCAAACACUAAAAAGGUUUGAGCUGUGUUACAGAGACGCGUAGUGGAGAGAGUGCCAGGUUGGAGCCGUGUGUGUGUGUGUGUGUGUGUGUGUGUGUGUGUGUGAGAGAGGCUGAAGAUGUUCACGAGGGAGAGUGAGGCAGCACAUCACAGCAUGGGCUCGAUGUGGGAGCAAUCCAGUUACUUAAACUGAUCAAGAUUUAAUUAACACAACGCUCGGCAAUUACUCUGUAAUUAAAGUCAUUUGUCCUCUUGUGGAGCUGAGAGUGCCACUGCUGCCAUAGAGCUGCAAAUUAGAGAGGGGAAGCGAGGAGGGGGAUGACGAGGGACUCAGGGCUGCGGAUGUGUUUGUGUUUCAGCCCCAGCCCAUAAAUACACUGGCAUUCUCACUAACCGCUUGUUUCGUCACUGGACUAGAAAGAAAAGAAAACUUUUAAAUAUAUGUCAAUUCUAAAUACGGGUUCGCAGAAGAUUCGAAUUGGCAUUGUUGAGAGAAAAAAUGGAAAACAUGCUUGGUCAGUAUGUUAUUAAGGAUAUCAGGCGCUUAUACUACAUAUAAAAUAUUGCUAACACUUUAGUUUAUGGAUCAGUUCUCACUACUAACUAGUUGCUUAUUAGCAUGCAUAUCACUAGCAUCUUGGUUUACUGUUUAGUACUUAUAAUAAUGCACAUAUUACAAUAACCUUAUUAAGCAUAUUUCAGAUCCCUGACCCAAUACCCGAACUGCAUUACUUACAAAUUAGGAGUUUACUGAGGCAUAGUUAACAGUGAGAAUCGUUCGCUAAACUAGCGUUACCAAAAUACUUGCUUUAGUUGAAUUAUAUUUUUAAAUGAAUUAUAUUUAGUUGAAUUAUAUUAGUUCUUCUGGGUUCGGCCUGUCUCAGUUUGUCCUGCUUCUUCGAGUCAUUCCAGACAAACCAGAUAAUGACCAGAUCAGUUUAAAAUAUUAAACAGUCCAAUUGCUCUAUUUUAUAAGAUGUUUGCAUAACACAGAUAAUAACACGGCUAUAACGGAGAAAGCAACUUUUGGGCGCGCUCACAGCUGACGUGACAACGAGCUCAUACCUUCGGUGAAGAUUAAUUUUUUUUUGGGAUAACCUGGAACAGCUUCUGUGACAGACGAACACACCGUUAUUGUGCGCAGACCUCUAAUCUGACGUCACGUACACUAAAAAGGGGUUUUCACCGAAAACGGCGGCGCACGCGACUUCCGCGCCUUCGGCUCGUGAACAAUCCCGGAUGACAACAGAAGACAAACCGAGACGCCUCGCGCCGUUCUUUCGCGCCGAGGCAGAGAUUACGCGUUAAAACGCUGUUAAAGAAAACCCUUCAAAAGCGUCAAGCGCUCUCAGAGGUGAGGACGCUGAACGCGGACCGAAGCCUUCAGACGGUAGCCACGAGCGCAACUCCGCUCACGGGCCGUAGAUAAUUAAUGGGACGUUUUCAGCGGCAAACAGUGACUAAUUGCGCUAGACAGAAAUAGCGAGGAAUUAAUAACAUGCAUCCAACACUUGCCACGAUCCCCUACCGCUUCAAUUUGCCGGGAGAUUAAAAACGACUGCCAAGUUUACUAAAUUAGGAGCGCGGGGGAAACGAACGCGCGCCUUGUUGUGUUCGCGCGCGCGCGCGUACUAUCUCUUAUUUACAGGCGAUGAUCUGCAUAUCAUCUCUCGGGGUCUCACGCUGGGGGGAAGAGGUACACAUCAAGUGCACCAAGCCCGCCGAAUGUAGGUGUCCUAUUGAUAAUUUGGCGUCCGGCCUCCGGCCACCUGUGGCACACAUCGCCUUGCCAGUUCACCGGGUCGCUGGACAGGGAAAACGGAGAGACGAGCACGGUUAGACCUGUUUCCCCCUGCAGGAGUAAUCGAGUUUAGCAGUCGACACCUUCCUAGCCCUCAAAAACCUCCUGAAGGAAUGCUAUUGACAUCUGUCAUCAUUUGGAAGCUAAUGGGAUCAAACGAGCUUCCUGCUGCAAUGAAAUAAUAAACGGAAAAGCGGGAUUUCGGUUUAUCCAGGAGGAUCAUAUUCGAUUCUGAGAGGAUUCUUGUUUCAUCCCAUUUAGGAUUGGUUCCAAAUUAUGAUAGAAAUUUCAUUAGCAUUCCCUCAGGAUAUUUUGCUGCUCCACAAAAGACCUCAUGCGGUCAGGGCUGAUCAUGUAGUGUAUCCAAAAGGACAUCAGAUGAAGAAAAGAGGAAAAAACGCGCCGUGCAUUCUUUUUAUUCAUCAUUUUGGUUUUAAUAAGCUUUCAUUUGUGAAACUGGGACCUUUUAAAAAUUAGGUUCAUCGUGAAGCUGAACAAAUAAGCUUUGCAAUGAUGUAUGGUUUGUUAGUAUAUAGGACAAUAUUUGGAUGAGAUGCAACUAAAAUCUGGAAUCUAAGGGUGCAAAAAAUCGAAAUAUUGAGAAAUCGGCCUUUAGAGAUGUUCAAUUUAAGUUCUUAGCGAGGCACAUUACUAAUCCAAAAAUACAUUUUGAUAUAUUUACGGUAGGAAAUUGACAAAAUACCUUCAUGGAACAUCUUUCCUAAUAAUUUUUGGGUUAAACGAAAAAUCUAAAAUAUUUAAUAAAAUCUAUUUUUGGCUUUUGUUAUAAAUAUACCCAUGCUACUCAUGACUGGUUUUGCGGUCCAGGGUUUUCAAAAGUUACAUUUAAUAUCAUUAAAAAAGUAAAAAUAAAAGUAUAUAAAUAUAAAUAUGUAUUUUUUUAAAGUACAUAACAAUGAAUUAAUAAAUGCGUUUAAAGUGUCACACCACACGACAUUUUAUAAUCCAGCCAUAUCAUAAAAAUAUAUUGUCUGAUAUUUCUAAGAGUUAAUGACCUUGAAGGUCAAUUAUAUAAUUUCCAUAUUCUAAAUAUCGGUUGUACCACUUGACUUUGUUGGUUAUGCAACACACAAGGACUAUAUGGCAUAUCAUAAACAAUUGAACGUUUCUAAUAUAUCCCAUAAUAUCAUUGUAUAUUGUAUGAUAAAGUGAUAAAAGAGCUGCAUUCAAGUGAUUGAUUUUUUUUUUUUAACCAGUUACAAAAGGGGACCUGAAAAAAAGCUCUCAAUGAGAUCAGUCAAAAUGAUAAAGGUGCAUUACAUAUACAUAUACAUAGAUAUUUAAUACAAGAUCGCUGCGCAGUAAUUACGACUUUUGAAAAAGCAUGAAACAGAUUGAUAAAGAAAGCUAAUAUGGUCUGGAAGUCACCUAUCUAAAGGACUCAGCACUCCAUAUUUUGGUUUGAUGUCACAAUCUUGACACCGCUGAUCGGGGAGACAUGUCUCGAUUUUCUGCGGCUUUGAUCCUUCAACAGUUGACUGUCUGAGCUGGCAGGCAUCCUGAAGGAGACAGCUAGCGGGCGGCAAAUAAAAAGACAUUCUCUCCUUCUCUCCCCCGAGCGCGAUCGCGCAGUGCGCCCUGGCUAAGCCUUCCGUAUCGCGUCCCGGGCGGUUCUGCCGGAUGCGCAGAUCUCACGGGAGAAACCAUCACCGAAUCGCCGCAAUUAAAAGCCUCAAUCUUAUUUUCGUAACUCGAACGAGGAGAGGACCGAGCGCACGCACGCAGGCGCGCGCGCGCCGUUUGUGACGGGCGUCCUCCGCGCAGCGAGGUGGCCUUUUCAGGCG